rnacentral:lncRNA from 1 species
CACAGGCACUUUGUAUGAAUAAGAAAAUCUCUUCUAACUUAAUGUAGAGAGCAAGAAUUGCCAAGCUGCUAGAGGAGAAGACGGAUUUCCAAGGAUUAAAAACAAACAAACAAACUGCAUAACAGCUGAGCUUUAAAGAAAAUUGUCUGAUCUGUUUUUUUCAGUAACGGGGUUACAGGCACCUUUUCCUAUGAAAAGAGGAAGAGAAAUGAAAAACAGCCCAGAAGAGUUUUUGAGGGACAUACUCUGCUUCUCCUCAUUUUUUGGGCAGGAGUGCUUCCUGGAGCUGUGAAGGAGGGAGAUGAUGUGUUUUCCCUAGCUGAGGGAGGAUCCCCAGGAGAUCAUACCAGCACUGACCAUGGAUAGGAACAACUCAGGGACAGCUCAGCAUCAUCUGCCCUUCCCUUUGCAUCAAGCUGGUGGAUACUGUGGCUGCAGAUAUAAAGCAAGCACUUUAGGAUUUCAUACAAGUGUCAGGAUGAGGAUUCAGAACAAGCACCCAGGGAAGACUUUUAAUUUUGAAAAAUGUGGAAGGGUUACCUGAGCAAUGGUUCAGGAGAAGACUCUAACCAGGGCAUCUCAAUGGCAUUUACUCUGCAGAGAAAGGGUGAAGUUUUCCCCCUGCUUCACUGAAUAGCUUUAAUACUGGUGUGUAGCUUAGCUAAGGAAAAAGAGAGUUCCUGUCACUCAAAAUAGUACUCUAAUCAUUGAG